GAUGAACGCUGGCGGCGUGCCUAAUACAUGCAAGUCGAGCGAACAGACGAUGAUCGUGCUCCUCUAACGUUAGCGGCGGACGUGUGAGUAACACGUGGAUAACCUACCUAUAAGACAGGGAUAACUUCGGGAAACCGGAGCUAAUACCGGACAAUAGAUUGAACCGCAUGGUUUAAUAGUGAAAGACGGUUUUGCUGUUAUUUUUGGAUGGACACCAGCCGCAUGGACUAGUAGGUACGGUAUCAGCUUACCAAGGCAACGAUGCGUAGGCGACCUGAGAGGGUGGAGCACCCCACAGGGACUUAAACACGGUCCAGAGGACAACAUAAGGCAGCAGAGCGGAAUCUUGCGCAAUGGGCGAAAGCCUGACAAAGCAACGCCGCGAGGGUGCUGAAAAUCUUCGGAUCGAAAAACUCUGUUAUUAGGGAAGAACAAAUUUGGAAGUAACUAUGCACGUCUUGACGGUACCUAAUCAAAAAGCCACGGCUAACUACGUG
rnacentral:rRNA from 1 species